rnacentral:rRNA from 1 species
UACGUAGGGGGCAAGCGUUGUCCGGAUUUAUUGGGCGUAAAGAGCGUGUAGGCGGCCAUUCAGGUCAGCUGUGAAAACUCGAGGCUCAACCUCGAGACGUCGGUUGAAACCGUAUGGCUAGAGUCCGGAAGAGGAGAGUGGAAUUCCCGGUGUAGCGGUGAAAUGCGCAGAUAUCAGGAAGAACACCAAUGGCGAAAGCAGCUCUCUGGGACGGUACUGACGCUGAGGCGCGAAAGCGUGGGGAGCAAACAGG